rnacentral:rRNA from 1 species
GACUAACGCUGGCGGCAGGCCUAACACAUGCAAGUCGAACGCGAAAGGGACUUCGGUCCUUAGUAGAGUGGCGCACGGGUGAGUAACGCGUGGGAACGUACCCUGGAGUGGGGAAUAACCAUUGGAAACGAUGGUUAAUACCGCAUAAUGUCUUCGGACCAAAGAUUUAUCGCUCUUGGAUCGGCCCGCGUUAGAUUAGUUUGUUGGUGGGGUAAUGGCCUACCAAGACUACGAUCUAUAGCUGGUUUGAGAGGACGACCAGCCACACUGGGGCUGAGACACGGCCCAGACUCCUACGGGAGGCAGCAGUGGGGAAUAUUGGACAAUGGGCGCAAGCCUGAUCCAGCCAUGCCGCGUGAGUGAUGAAGGCCUUAGGGUUGUAAAGCUCUUUCAACGGUGAAGAUGAUGACGGUAACCGCAGAAGAAGCCCCGGCUAACUUCGUGCCAGCAGCCGCGGUAA